rnacentral:lncRNA from 1 species
CAUAUUUUUUUCUUACUAAUAAUGAAAAUUGAUUUUUAUAUUAAAAAUUAGGAAAAAAAAAACUAGGCAUUAUUAUCCUCUUCCGGUCGAACAAAUUGUGCGAUAUUAAUGCGAUUGUGCGAUUAUUACUGUAAUUUUUAGAAGUUGCGAAUUGAACAUUUCAUUCGCCACAUAUAUGGCAAAUUUAAAAAUAUGUUGCUUACCUCUGCUCUACACAAUACUUCCAUCUUGAUAGACGUUUGUAGCUAUUUGUAUCGUAAUCUUUUAGAGACUUGGUUGCAGUUUGUUAAAUUUCUAUCAAAUUUGUUAAAUGUUUUUCCUCUGGUGACUUCUUCAUUCUGUUGAAUUAAAUUAAAAGAAGUUAUAUCGAAACUUCUUUUAAUUCAAUAGACUUUAAAUAUUGAAUUUAAGACGAAUAAGAAAGGAAAGGUAUACCAUGUUUUGAAGGAAUGAUUAAAUAAGUAGAUUUGCAGAAUUGGAUAUAUUUUGACAGAUAUUCCAAUUAAUGUUAUAAAAUAUCAAUUAUUCAGUGUUAUACAACAGACGUACAAUUUGGAAAAUUAACACAGUGCUGCCAGAUAUUUGUUUUAAUUCAUUUAAAUAUUUUUAAAAUAAAUAAGUUUCGGAAAUUAUUGAUUAUGCCUUGUAUAAAAAUUAUACUAUUAUUACUCAAAAUUUGAAAUGCCAUUUUCAUUCUUUCUUUUAACAUAAAGAUGAACGGAUGAUUUACAACGUGUUUGUUUAUUGAGAUUUUUUGUUCUAUGCAGUUUUAUGCUGUUUUCCACUAUGCAAAGACUGAGCGGCCGGGCAUUCUACUUCCAACCAAGGGCUCACAUCCCUAAUUGGGUGGGUCAGCCGUCAGGUGGAGGAGGCGAUUUAAUAGGCCGGGCCCGAACUCUACCUGAAAAAAUCUUGAGAUGUAGGACCCAAGAAUUGACCGAUUUCAUGGGAAGCACCUACUGCCGUGACGUCACAAUAUGGCAGCGGAGAGACGGAAAACAAAUCACACGUGGUCGCGUGCAUUAGGGUAUAUGCUAUCAUGACGUCGCUAUAAAUUAUAAAUAAGUUUACAAUCAAAGUAGGCUUCGACUAUUUUAAGCCCCACUCAAAUAAUACAAGAUCAAGAGAAUGUAGUUUUUCCUAUUUUUGUGCAAAUUAUGUGCAUAAAUUUGUGUUAAAAGGGAAUAUGUUAUUGGCCAAAUGCUGGCCUUCUUAAAGAAAAAAAGGAAUCACAUAAUAUAGAACUGUUGUUGUCAACUUGAAACUAAUGAACGUACAUUGUUCCUAUACUGCUGGAUAAGUUUUUAAAUUUACGAUAUAAUUAGGGUGAUCAUAUUUUCUUAGAAAAAAUAAAGGAC